rnacentral:rRNA from 1 species
AGUGAACGCUGGCGGUAGGCCUAACACAUGCAAGUCGAACGGCAGCACAGUAAGAGCUUGCUCUUACGGGUGGCGAGUGGCGGACGGGUGAGGAAUACAUCGGAAUCUACUUUUUCGUGGGGGAUAACGUAGGGAAACUUACGCUAAUACCGCAUACGACCUACGGGUGAAAGCAGGGGAUCUUCGGACCUUGCGCGAUUGAAUGAGCCGAUGUCGGAUUAGCUAGUUGGCGGGGUAAAGGCCCACCAAGGCGACGAUCCGUAGCUGGUCUGAGAGGAUGAUCAGCCACACUGGAACUGAGACACGGUCCAGACUCCUACGGGAGGCAGCAGUGGGGAAUAUUGGACAAUGGGCGAAAGCCUGAUCCAGCCAUCCCGCGUGGGUGAAGAAGGCCUUCGGGUUGUAAAGCCCUUUUGUUGGGAAAGAAAAGCAGCAGGUUAAUACCCCGCUGUUCUGACGGUACCCAAAGAAUAAGCACCGGCUAACUUCGUG